rnacentral:lncRNA from 1 species
UUAUUCCCCUAUAACGCAGGCGCAUUAAUCGACUGCUCACCGUAGGUAGCAGGACUGGGUUUGCAAUAUCAAGAUAAUCUUAUCGACCUUGCUAUGUUGGUAAAGUCUGAAGCUUAAACUUUUUACUAACUUCUCCACUUUCUGUUUUCUUACAGUCCAGUACUUGACAAUUCCUUACCUGGUUGUGUAUGCCUACCAUUUAAGCUCAUCGUGUCCUUCCUUUGUGCAUAACUUGUAUUUUUAUUUGUUAUAUUUAGAUUGAGUAAGCAGCGUACAACUCCAGUGCACGUACACAAUUAGCUGUAGCUGUUGGGGAAGGUGAGUAAGCACACAACUGAUUAAAAUAGUGUAGAUAGUACUAGUACUAGUUGCUUAUGGCACGUAGUUGUACAUAAGGUGAUGAACGGCCAAAUUCAUAGCAUGUCUAAAUCAAUUCAGAGAUGAGAAAACAUACAGUUAACAGGAAUAAUGUGGCAUGUAGUGGUUGGGUGAUGACCUCCAGAUAUUGCAUCAUUCUGAGAUUGUUCAGUACAUUGAAUGGAUGAAUGGCUGUCACUUCUUACUAAAGAAACAUUUUUCUGUUUUGAUCUGCGAUUUUUUAGUACAUUACCGAUCUGUUUUUGUAGUGAUGUGCUGAUCUAAACUUUUGUAGUAACCAAAGCGUCAAACAACUAUACUUAUGCAACUAAGGCCCUGUUUGAUAGCUCUGUAUUUUCUAAGUAUUCUGAAAAUACUACAGUUUUUAGGAUUACCAUGGUUUUAAUUACUUUGAGCUGUUUGACAAGACCUAAAAACUAAGAUAUUAAUACUGCAGUUUUUCCAAUACUAUGGUAUUUUCUCUGUUUAAAAAAAGAACCUCAGGCCUCUCUUUUUUUAAACUGAGCACGCGAAAGAACAAACUCAUCGUUAUCUUCGGUCGCUCCCAAGCCGCCGCCGGCAGCCCCAUUGUCUGUGGAGGUCGUCUUGAUCGGGCGGCCAUGGACAGAUCAAGGAACGGCAGUACAGUGCAGUACGAACUGCCAUGGUUGAUGGGGUGGAGCAAGCUGCUCCGGGCAACGCGGAUGAAAGCCAAGUUUUUUCAGUUCACGAGCAGCUUCGCCGCAUGAUCCGUUGCCGACACCACCAUCUUGCGGAGCUUUAGGUCAUGCCUCCACGCACACCUCUUGGUGAUCCGAGACGCGAAAAGAAAACCAAGCUGCUCGGGGCAACGCGCAGCUCCGCCGUUGACUGCCUCCUCCUAAUCCAAUUUGCUCUGGUAGGUGUAACACCGAGAUUGUGCAUGGCGUGUUUAGCUUGGCCAUUCAGUUCGUGCAUGAUCAUACAUCUGUGCUAAGUGCAUGGCCGUUAAUCAGUUUAGAUGUGUCUAGCUAGCUCAACGCACCGUUCGGAACUGCUUGAAACGGCUCUUGCCAAACAGGUGAACAAUAUUCUAAAUACUUUCAAAUACUCUGUUAUGGCAAAACUGUGGUAUUGUGUAUCUACGAACUAAAUUACUGUAGUUUGCAAUACUUCAGUUUUUAUAAUACUUUGUUAUCAAACGGGGCCUAAUUAUGAAAUAUGUUCAGUAGAUUACUAUAGUUCAUUGUCAUAUGCCGCCCUACUGGACUCACUAGUCAUUCACAUGCUACUUAGAACUUUAAGUAGCACACUAGUUAAAAGUGCAGCAGGGAUCCAUGUAAAUUUUUUUGACCGACAAUUUUUAUACAAGUUUGUGUCUUCUUGUUUUGCCAAACUAAUAUACCGUAUUAUUGGCCCAUCUGCAUACCCGCAAAUCUAGUUAAUAAUGUACUCAGAUUCGUAAUCUGAUAGAUUAUAUGCUUCUUAGUGGUACUGUUAUACGUUUUUAUCUUGUAUGUUUUCAUCGCAUUAAGAUGCAACACGCUGUUGUGUUUCCUCAGUUUAUAGGCAU